rnacentral:rRNA from 1 species
GACGUAGGGUGCGAGCGUUAAUCGGAAUUACUGGGCGUAAAGCGUGCGCAGGCGGUUCGUUGUGUCGGCGGUGAAAUCCCCGGGCUCAACCUGGGAAUGGCCGUUGAAACUGGCGAACUGGAGUGUGGCAGAGGGGGGUGGAAUUCCGCGUGUAGCAGUGAAAUGCGUAGAGAUGCGGAGGAACACCGAUGGCGAAGGCAGCCCCCUGGGCUGACACUGACGCUCAGGCACGAAAGCGUGGGGAGCAAACAGG